GGAGGUCCUACCUGCCCAGUGACUACUUGUUAAACGGCCGCGGUAUUUUGACCGUGCUAAGGUAGCGCAAUCACUUGUCUUUUAAAUGAAGACCUGUAUGAAUGGUGGAACGAGGGCUUAGCUGUCUCCCUUCUCUAGUCAAUGAAAUUGAUCUGCCCGUGCAGAAGCGGACAUACAAAUACAAGACGAGAAGACCCUUUGGAGCUUAAGACAAAAAGCCAACUGUGUAAAAACCCACACAAAAUGAAGCUCAACAAAACAGCCAACUGGCCAACGUCUUCGGUUGGGGCGACCGCGGGGGAAAACAUAGCCCCCAUGCAGAAUGGGAUAUUUCCCUAAACCAAGAGAGACAUCUCUAAGUCACAGAACAUCUGACUAUAUAGAUCCGGCCCAAAAGCCGAUCAACGGACCAAGUUACCCUAGGGAUAACAGCGCAAUCCCCUCCAAGAGUCCAUAUCGACAAGGGGGUUUACGACCUCGAUGUUGGAUCAGGACAUCCUAAUGGUGCAGCCGUUAUUAAGGG
rnacentral:rRNA from 1 species